UAAGUGCGAUAAUUAAUGUGAAUUGCACAAAUUCGUGAAUCAUCGAGUCUUUGAACGCAUCUUGCGCUUUCGGGACAACCGGAAGCAUGGCUGUUUGAGUGUCGGAAAUCAUCUCUCAUCUCCAUGAUGAGGACGUGAGGUUCAGAGGCUCCGCCGGCUCACGCUGUGUUGUAGACAGUCGUCUAUCGCAGCCAAGCCGGGACGAGUCUGUGCCUUGAAAUGGAGACACCGAAAGUCUCGCCGGCUUUCACAACCUAAAGUGAGGUAAAAGACAGUCGUCUUUCAAUCACUGAUGGGGGCAGGUUUGUCGGCUUGACGCUACAUUUCGGUAACAAUGAUGGCGGUGUGUGCUGCAGCUGUGGUUGCCACGCCCGUCACGACACCUUCAACAACGACCUCAAAUCAGCCAAGAUCACCCGCUGAACUUAA
rnacentral:misc_RNA from 1 species